rnacentral:rRNA from 1 species
AUGGACAGCGCCGGGUCCUCCUCCUCGCCGCUGCGCGUCGUGAUCGUCCCCUGGCUCGCGUUCGGCCACAUGCUCCCGUACCUGGAGCUCGCCGAGCGGCUGGCGUCGCGAGGCCACCCCGUGUCAUACGUCUCCACGCCGCGCAACCUCGCCCGCCUCCCGCCGCUGCCGGCCGCGGCGCCGCGCGUCGACCUCGUCGCGCUCCCGCUGCCGCGCGUCGACGGCCUCCCCGACGGCGCCGAGUCCACCAACGACGUCCCCGUCGACCAGCGGGAGCUCCACUUCAAAGCCUUCGACGGCCUCGCCGCGCCCUUCGCCGAGUUCAUGGCCGCCGCGUGCGCCGAUGAGGGCACGAGGCCUCACUGGGUCAUCGCCGACAGCUUCCACCACUGGGUCGCCGCCGCCGCCGUCCAGCACAAGGUUCGGCUCACCUGCCGCGCGCGCUGCUCGGUUCCAUUAAUUCCAUCCAAUGCACAUGUCAAAUCUAGCUCGAUGCUCAAUCAAUCAGUGAUCGCUAUUGCGCGCGCCGAGACCCGCCCUCGUUACGAGCAGGAGGACAUGGCUCCCAUGUACGGCGACCAAGGCGCAUCGGGUAUGUCCCUCGCCCAGCGCUGGCUGUUGACGAAAGAGAGGUCCGCGCUCGGGGUCAUCCGGAGCUGCGUGGAGUGGGAGCCCGAGUCCUUCCCGCUGGUGCAACCGCUCCUCGGCAUGCCGGUCGUGCCUCUCGGCCUUCUCCCACCGUCACCCGACGGAGGCCGUCGUGCCGGCGGCACCAAUGAAUCAUCAGAGCACGCCACCGUGCGCUGGCUGGACGCGCAGUCGCCCGGCUCGGUGGUGUACGUGGCGCUAGGGAGCGAAGUGCCGCUGCCCCUGGAGCAGGUACACGAGCUCGCCCUCGGGCUGGAGCUCGCCGGGACGCGCUUCCUCUGGGCUCUCCGGAAGCCCAGCGGCGCCGCCGUCCUAGAUGACGGAGCCGACAUGCUUCCACCGGGUUUCCAAGAGCGCGCUCGCGGCCAGGGGCUGGUGACCACGGGGUGGGUUCCUCAGAUGAGCAUCCUGGCGCACCCCGCCGUGGGCGGGUUCCUGACGCACUGCGGCCAGAACUCGCUGAUCGAAGGGCUCCUGUUCGGCCACCCACUCGUCAUGCUACCCAUCUUCGGCGACCAAGGUCCGAAUGCACGCCAAAUGGAGGCGAAGAAGGCGGGGUUGCAGGUGGCGAGGGACGAGAGCGAUGGGUCCUUCGACCGCCAUGGCAUCGCGAGCGCGGUCCGGGCCGUAAUGGUUGACGCAGAGGCAAGGAGGAGAUUCGUGGCAGGUGCAGCGAAGAUGCAGGAGGUCGUAGCUAAUUCGGAACGGCAGGAGCGGUACAUCGACGAAUUUGUACAACACCUUAGAAAUCAUGGCGCCGCCAUUGCAACUGAUGGCAAAGCCACUACGGCCGUCCUCGCAACCAGCUGA